rnacentral:rRNA from 1 species
GACGAACGCUGGCGGCGUGCUUAACACAUGCAAGUCGAACGGAAAGGCCUGCUUUCCCUUGUGGAUUGCGGGUACUCGAGUGGCGAACGGGUGAGUAACACGUGAGUGGUCUGCCCCCAACUUGGGUAUAAGCCUGGGAAACUGGGUCUAAUUCCCGAUAGGACUGCAGGGUGGAGCCUGUGGUGGAAAACGAUUUUCUAGUGGUUGGGGAUGAGCUCGCGGCCUAUCAGCUUGUUGGUGGGGUAAUGGCCUACCAAGGCGGCGACGGGUAGCCGGCCUGAGAGGGUGGACGGCCACAUUGGGACUGAGAUACGGCCCAGACUCCUACGGGAGGCAGCAGUGGGGAAUAUUGCACAAUGGGCGGAAGCCUGAUGCAGCGACGCCGCGUGGGGGAUGACGGCCUUCGGGUUGUAAACUCCUUUCGACCGCGAGGAAGCCACCUGGUUGGAAGGGUGGUGACGGUAGUGGUAGAAGAAGCACCGGCUAACUACGUG